GAGGGUAUAGCUCAGUGGUAAAGCCUGCGCUUAGCAUGUGCGAUGUCCUGGGUUCAAUCCCCAGUACCCCCG
rnacentral:tRNA from 1 species